GCAGUCGUGCGGUGUGACUUGGACAGCUUGCUGCUCUCUGAUGGCACGCGGAGGGAGAAUAAUUAAAAAGGCCAGCAUCACUUACUAAGACUCCCCAGUACAUUCCAAGUUUCCUGAGCAGGAGAAAUAGAUUUUGCAGAAGUGAGCCACGGAGACCCAAAUGAGGAGGAAAUAAACCAGCUGUGGAUGACUUGGGCACCCUCCAUCGCAUGUGUUUGGCAUUCAUAGAGACCUGUGUCUGCAGUGUGUGUGUGUGCGUGUGUGAAGCACUCUUCAUCUCAAGUGAGUAAGAAAAAAAAGAUAGAAAUCCCCAGAAGAGAGAGAUCCUGCCUGUAGUUUGGAAGAAGCCACGCGGUACCUGAGAUAACUUCAACAGCAAAGGGCACUUCAGCAAAUGGUGAAGACAGCAAGAAGGCUCCUCUUCUCACACAAUGACAUCUCACAAUCGUGCAGGGCUUUCCAAUUUCCACGGUGCUCUUCACACAUAUUACCCUGUUUAAUUCUCACUACAACCAGUGAUAUCGGCGAGACAGAUAGUCUUUAGCUAACUUUACAGAUGAGGGUACUCAGGCUCACAGAGAGAGGACUUGCCUAAGGUUGAAAGAUAAUAAGAGACAGCUGCAGGUCUUCUGGGUCUUAAUCUGGUGCCAUUUUAGUAUUUUUCAUAGGUUCUUAUAAAAAACAUCCUCUUUAGAACCCGUGACUUAAAGGUGCCUUGAUUCUUAAAAAAUAAAAUUCUUUAGAGAUAGGGUCUUGCUGUGUUGUCCACGCUGGAGUGGUCACAGCUCACUGCAGCCUUAUUCUCCUGGGAUCAAGUAAUCCUCUCACCUCAGCCUCUUAAGUAGCUGGGACUACAGGUGCACACCACUAUGCCCAGCUAAUUUUUUUUAAAAGAUGGGGUUUUGCCAUGUUGUCUACCCUGGACUGAGACUCCUGCCCUCAAGCAAAUCCUCCUCCAAAUUGCUGGAAUUAUGGGUGUGAGCCACCAAAUGCAGCCUUUUUUUUUUUUUUUUUUUUUUUGGAGAGAACACGGUCUUGCUUUGUAGCUUGAGCUAGUAUUGAACUCCUGGCCUCAAGCUAUCUUCCUGCCUCAGCCUCCUAAAGUGCUGGGAUUACAGGCAUGAGCCACUAUGCCCACCCGCUUCCUUGAUUCUUGAUCCAUGCUCAUCCCCGCCUCACUUCUUCACCAUGAGGUUUUUUUUCUCAUAGCCUAUGUUAUUUGUAGUUAUGUGCACUUUGAAAAUACUUCCUGUAUCCUGCCAGCGAGGAAGAACCACAGCUAAUUUCCACUGGCAAAGGCAGAAGCCAUCCUUAACUUCCCAUUUUCCUCUAUUUGUUCCUCCUUUCCUUGAAAGUCAAGUUUACCCAUGAGCUGGUCUACAUUUGUACUAUUUUUACUUCUUCACUCCGCUUUGCAUCUCUACCCAGGGCUAUCUGCUUUCAUUCCUACUUUCCCAUUAAAACUGCUCUAAGUCAUUAACAACCAAUUCCACUGUGCCUUCCUCUCUGAAUCAUUGUAUUCAGUGACCACUCCCUCUCGCAAGACGUCUCCUCUGUCAUACCUGGCAUCAUUCUAUUCCUUCUUCAUUUCUGGUUACCUCCUCUCUAGCUUCAUGUCAGACUUAUCUUCCUUUAUUAAUGCCUUAAAUAUUAGUGUUUCUGAAGAGGGUUUCUGUGGCCACCUUCUAUUCUUAACUGUAAACACUUUGUUUUGUGUAAUGUAAAGCCUUGGCUUCAAUGAUCAUCUAUAGGCUGAUCAUCAAUUAUCAUCUCCAUCCCAAACCACUCUCCUGAAUUCAACCCAGGAUCUCUGGCUCCCUGCUGUUACCUCCUUGGGAUGGUCCACGAGCCCUUCAAUUCAGGGCACCCCAAAUCAUCCCCAAACCUGCCUCCCUUCACCCUCUUCUUUUUCUCCCCCAGCUGCUCUUCAAAUUCUCUCAUUUCUUUCCCUAUUUCUAUUUUCUCUUUUUUAUUGUAUUCCUAUCGCUCUUCUCUUAUUUUCCUAGUGGCUUUUCCAAAGGCCUAACUGUUCUCAUCAUUCUCAGAUAUGCCUUGCCCACAAUGCCUUCUCUGUACUAUGUCUAAUUGACCUACAGAAAGUGCAAAUGUGAUUAUCUUGCUCGCCUUUGUGAGAUCCUUCUGAGGAUCCCACCUUCUUACAUGGCCUUCCAGGCUGUUCAUGACCUGUGUGCUGCCUCUCCCUCGCCUGCUCUCUUCUAACUCGUCCAUUGCCCAUGCUCUGCUUCUAGGUCAUAAAAUGCCCCAUAACUCUUUCAUGCCUCUAGGAUUCCAUAUGAGGUUCCUGCUUCCUGGAACGUUCACCUCGGCUUCCUUCAUUUGACCAACUCCUCCUCCCCUUUCAAGACUGUUCCAGCAAGAAGCAUUUCUCCCCCGACCGAAACCUCCCAUGCUGGGUUACGUGCUACUGCAAGACCCUAUUCCUGCUUCCCUCUCCCACAGCAUGACUCCACUUUCACAAUGACCAAGUUUUCCCAUUUGACCAUGAGACACAUGGAGGCAGAGACCGUGCCCUUCAUCCCUGUCUUCCCAGCACCCAGCACAGAUCCCAAAAUAAACUGGGUGCUUAAUAAAUUAAUAUUACUAUUUUUAUUCCAAGUAUCAUAAAUAGUAUUUUUCCAGCUGUAAGAUUACAGGCCUCCAAAAUAAUCAAGCUGAGGGAAAUACAGCGACCGUUUCCCAUAGAGAAAAAAGGAUUUCCUAUUGGGCAAUUCUCACCUACAUCACUUUUUUGACUUCUUUCAGGCGAGAGACAAGCAGUGGGGUGGUCUUUAGGUGUUUGCUGAUGUGGUAGAAACUUUGGAGUUAAUUAGAAGCUCUGGCUAAGGCCGAACUUCCUUUGCAGAGUUCCUGGGAGGAAACACUAAAUUAACAGUUCAAGGUUACUAUUAGAAAAAUGGCCUGUUUCCCUAUGUUAUGCCUCAGAGAGUUUGUUCUUCUCUCUGCCAUUUCUAAGAUGUUUCCAUUUUCCUUUUUACCUGGGUAGGUUUGCCACCCUAAGCCCAGUCAUUCCAACACAGGUGAAAGCUCUUGAGGUCAGGGACUGAUUCUUCGCCUAUCUUCCAGCAGCGGUAGAUUCUGGGGCACUCAAUUAGUACCUGGUGGAGUUGAAUAGUGAGAAAAUCUGCUCAUCACAGAAGAAGGAACGGGGAUGAUUUCCUAAGUUCCCAUUUUCCACAAAGCAGAAAAUGGCAUGAGAUCAGUAGUACCAGACCUCCCUGGCAGUGCUAGAAAUAUCUCAAGAUACUAUGAGCAAUUUCUAAAUUUGGAAAUGCACUGAUUCUUGUUAUUUGCAGUAGUUAUGCUCUGUAAAGUUGCCACAGACACUGAGUUAGUGAAUACCGAACCAUCGCUCCUAGGGGAAAUAGAGAAUUAGGUUCCUGCAAGCCUCUGGUCACAAUGUUUUCAUCAAUGAAUCAAUACAGAGCCUCG
rnacentral:lncRNA from 1 species